GAUACACUUAAGGUAGUUUAGUAAAACUAUUAUUUGUUCUCUUUCAUUUAUUUACAUUUAUCUUCUCUAUAUAAAAUGUUUUAGUAGGUCAUUCAUUAUGGAGCAGAGGGACUAAUUUUCUCAUAUCAUUUCAAGAAAUUGUUAAUUUUUACCCAUCACAUUUGUAAUACAAGUUUGCUUCUAUUUUUCUUAAUUGUUCAAAUUGAUUCUGUAAUAUACACGAUGUCUGAAAAAUAAUCAUGUAAAAUACAUAACACAUAUUCUAACCCUUAAUUUGAUGUUCUACUUAUUUUUGGGGAGAAUGAAGUGUUCCCAUUGAUACUAUAAAAUACAAGAGAUUGGCUGGUAAAGUGAUUCACUUUUCACACACUAGACGUGACAUUGGCUUCUCAGUAGUGUAGUAAGUCGGUUAAUCCCAGAAGAGACCUAUUCUUUAAUAAGACAUGAAAAGAAUGACUCCAUGUUCAGUCAGAGACAUCUCUAAUUGGAGUUCAGAAUAUGGCUAAGUUAAAGAUUAAAGAUUAAUCGAUUUGUAAUAAAUUUGAUACCUGGGAGAAUCGAACUUGAGACCUUGAUGAGAAACACACUCCCGGAUCUCAA
rnacentral:lncRNA from 1 species